rnacentral:misc_RNA from 1 species
GAGAAGAGGAGAAGAAAGAGAGGAAGAAGAAGAAGAAGAUUCUUCAAGAAAUUAUGAAAACGGGAGAAGCAUUCAUAUGGUUUAUCUUAGUACCUUUGUUGCUGUUUGUGGCUCUUUUCAAUUCGGAUCAUGUGUGGGAUAUUCAGCACCAGCUCAGGCUGCAAUAAGGGAAGAUCUUCAUUUGUCUCUAUCUGAGUAUUCUAUGUUUGGAUCUAUACUUACUAUUGGAGCAAUGUUUGGUGCUAUAACGAGUGGGAGAAUUGCUGAUUAUAUUGGUCGUAAAGGGGCAAUGAGAAUGUCAGCUUGUUUCUGCAUACUUGGAUGGAUAGCAAUCUUCCUUUCAAAGGAAUGUCUAUCAUUGGACAUUGGGAGGCUACUCACAGGAUAUGGCAUCGGAGUCUUCUCCUAUGUGGUCCCAAUAUUUAUUGCUGAAAUAGCUCCGAAAAAUCUUCGAGGGGGGUUUGCGACGCUAAAUCAGCUAUUGAUUGUCACUGGUUCAUCCGUUGCUUUCUUACUUGGAAUUGUUGUAACAUGGAGAACACUUGCUCUCACAGGGCUUAUACCUUGCAUUACCCUUCUUGCGGGUCUGUUUUUUGUUCCCGAGUCCCCUAGAUGGCUUGUAAGUUUCCUAUUUUGCCCCU